CUACGUGCCAGCAGCCGCGGUAAUACGGAAGGUCCGGGCGUUAUCCGGAUUUAUUGGGUUUAAAGGGAGCGUAGGCUGGAGAUUAAGUGUGUUGUGAAAUGUAGACGCUCAACGUCUGACUUGCAGCGCAUACUGGUUUCCUUGAGUACGCACAACGUUGGCGGAAUUCGUCGUGUAGCGGUGAAAUGCUUAGAUAUGACGAAGAACUCCGAUUGCGAAGGCAGCUGACGGGAGCGCAACUGACGCUGAAGCUCGAAGGUGCGGGUAUCGAACAGGAUUAGAUACCCUGGUAGUCCGCACAGUAAACGAUGGAUGCCCGCUGUUGGUACGUGGUAUCAGCGGCUAAGCGAAAGCAUUAAGCAUCCCACCUGGGGAGUACGCCGGCAACGGUGAAACUCAAAGGAAUUGACGGGGGCCCGCACAAGCGGAGGAACAUGUGGUUUAAUUCGAUGAUACGCGAGGAACCUUACCCGGGCUUGAA
rnacentral:rRNA from 1 species